rnacentral:tRNA from 2 species
UUUUAAUAUGGCAGAAUUUA